GAUGAACGCUGGCGGCGUGCCUAAUACAUGCAAGUCGAGCGAACAGACGAGGAGCUUGCUCCUCUGACGUUAGCGGCGGACGGGUGAGUAACACGUGGAUAACCUACCUAUAAGACUGGGAUAACUUCGGGAAACCGGAGCUAAUACCGGAUAAUAUAUUGAACCGCAUGGUUCAAUAGUGAAAGACGGUUUUGCUGUCACUUAUAGAUGGAUCCGCGCCGCAUUAGCUAGUUGGUAAGGUAACGGCUUACCAAGGCAACGAUGCGUAGCCGACCUGAGAGGGUGAUCGGCCACACUGGAACUGAGACACGGUCCAGACGCCUACGGGAGGCAGCAGUAGGGAAUCUUCCGCAAUGGGCGAAAGCCUGACGGAGCAACGCCGCGUGAGUGAUGAAGGUCUUCGGAGCGUAAAACUCUGUUAUUAGGGAAGAACAAAUGUGUAAGUAACUAUGCACGUCUUGACGGUACCUAAUCAGAAAGCCACGGCUAACUACGUG
rnacentral:rRNA from 1 species